rnacentral:lncRNA from 1 species
ACUCCGGUACAAGUCAUAACCAUAUCCAGAUCUGGUUUGUAUAGGUGACUGAGAUAACCUCAGCCUCAUCUCAGGAAGUGGCCACUUUUGGAGAGUCCGACUAUCACGGUAGGCACAGAACUCUGCCAUGUCACUAGCUGAAUGACCUCGGAUGUCACUUCAACUCUGAGCCUUAGAACUUGUCAACUGCAAAGUGGGGCACUUCACCGAGCUACAUCAUUGAGCUACUUCACUGAGCUACUUCAUUGAAUUGGGAAAAUUAAAGGAGCAAAUAUGGGAGAAGGAUUUGGCCCAUAGUAAACACUAUGACUGUCCGUCUUCUGCCAUCUUUCAGUAGACCCAGUGGAAUUAUAUGAAGGUUGAUAGGCACUUAAACCAAGAAUAUAUGAACAUCUAUUCUGUGCAAGAUGUGUGCAUUGAACUCAGUCCAGGACUGAAGGGGACAGGAGGAAGCAAACUUGGAAAUCAUGUCUUAGAGAUCAAGGAGCCAAGAGAUGAGACAAGCCUGGGUUCCUAGGUGAUAGGGUGUGGCUGUGUCCCCACCCAAAUCUCGUCUUGAAUUGUAGCUCCCAUAAUCCCCACAUGUUGUGGAGGGACCCUGUGGAAGGUAAUUGAAUUAUGGAGGUGGGUUUUUCCCAUGCUGUUUUCAUGAUGGUAAAUAAGUCUCAUGAGAUCUGAUGGCUUUAUAAGGGGCAAUUUCCCUGCACACAUUCUCUUGCUUGCCACAAUGUAAGACAUGCCUUUGCUCCUUCUUCACCUUCUGCCAUGAUUGUAAGGCCUCCCUGGCCAUGUGGAACUGUGAGUCCAUUAAACCUCUUUUUCUUUAUAAAUUAUCUAGUCUUGGGUAUGUCUUUAUUAGCAGCGUGAGAACAGACUAAUACAUUGAGUAACUGGAGAUUGCAGAGCACUAGCCAAACUACAUGGGACUGUGACUUGAAUGAGAAAUAAACUUUCACUGUGUUGAAACAACAAAAAUUGAGAGAUUGUUUGUUAUAGAAGUUAGCAUGCUGCAAGUAUUAGAAUGACUUUUGUGUUAUUUUUCAUAUCUUAAUGUCUCAAUUUUAAUUUUAAUCAAAAUAAUGCAUAGAUGUAAUAGAGGUCAAAUAUAAUUAAACAUUUUAAAUAAUUAUCUCUUGUGCCACAGAUUACUUUCUGAUAGUUGAGGACUCAGAUCUUUCAUCCCCUUCCACAAUCUAUCUUUCCCAUAUCAUACUAACAUGUGUUUUCUCCUAUUGUAAGUAUGCGAAUGGUUUUGCUGCUAAAGCAGAAGUGCGCAAUAAACUUAUCUCCGUACGCAUAACCUUUUAUUCUUAUGUAUAACCUUUUAUUCUUCCCUGGUCACUGACUCUCUCUAAUCCUGUAUCAUCUUCCCACAUUGCCUUGGUUUUCCUUUGGUCCCAGUAUGAUACACAUAUGAUAUAUAAUGUAUCAUAUAUGUAUAUAUGUGUGUAUAUACAUAUAUAUACUAUAUAUAUGCAUUUGUAUAUAUGUGUGUGUAUUUAUAUGUGUGUGUGUGUGUGUGUAUAUACACACUUCUUUUCUGAAGGCCAGAACAUCUGUACUACAGGCCUACUUAUAAGCUCAAAACAUCAAUUAAAAAAAAUUUUCAAGACCGCUCUCCCUAAGCCCCUUGUUUCGCAGUAGAAUUUGGAUUAUUUCUUCUUAGGCUAGCUACAGAGAUAUCUUCCUAAGAUUUCUCUACACUUUCAACUUAUGUGGGAUCUCCUGUUUUGUGGAUCCCACAUCUUUCUUUUCUUGCUUGUGUUUACCUGUGUACUCCUGCAUCUCAUUGAGUUUCUUUAACAUAAUUAUUUUGAAUUAUUUUUUAGGCAUUUCAUUUUUUUUUCCUUUGGGAUCUGUUACUGGAGAAUUAUUUUAUCCCUUUGGAGUCAUCAUCUCUUCUUUUUUUUAGUGAUUCUUGUGUCCUACAUUCAUAUCUGUGCAUUUAGUGUAAAAGUUACUUCUUCCAGUUUUAUGGAUUGGUUUUUGUAGGGACUUUUUCCUGUAGAUGUAUCUAUAUUAUUGGUGGGGUAGGAUGCUUUGGCUUUGAUUCUGGGUGGGCACAGUAGUAUCAUCUCUGUAUGAUUUAUUCACUGUAAUCAGUUUCAGUGGUGUCUGUAAGUUUCUCAGUGGCUUAGGCUGCAGUUGUAAAUGGAGGCUAUGGUGAGUCUUUUCUGGGGAAGAGGACACCAGAUGGAUGGUCCUCGGGCACCAAUGGUGUUGGUAGAGGGCCAGCCUUCUGGUCCUUGAGUCCUUGGGCAUCAUACUUGGGAGCCAGUGGUGGGUCUGGAUGGGCCAGCCCUUGGGCCUCCUGGCAGCAUGGUGGGGUGCCAGCAGCAGGCUGGGCAUGCAGGUACUUGGGCCCCCAGGCAGCCUGUGUAGUGUUGGCAGUGGAAAUAAUGGCUGCAGGACAACCUUUGGGUCUGAGUCACAGGUGGUGGUGGUGGGCUGGAAAGAUCAGUUUCAGGGCCUCCCAGAAGAUGCAUGUGGGUGCCAGUGUUGGGCAGAGUAGGUAUGUUCUUGUGCCCCUGGAUGGCAUGUGCAUGUGCCAGUGGCAGCAGGCAUGGUGGACCUAUCUCUAGGCUGUAGGACAGCACAUGCAGGUGGUAGCCAUGGGCAGAACAGGCCUGUCCUGCAGUUCCUGGAAGGCAUGUGUGGGUGCUAGCAGUGGUAGGGUGAGUCCCCAGGACCCCAGGUGACAUGUGUGAAUGCUAAUGGAGGCGGUGGUGGCAGUGGUUGGGGUGGAUCUAUCCUCAGGUCCCCAGAGGGCAUGUGCAAGCACUGUCAGUGGUGAAUGGGGCAGGUCGAUUCCCAGGUCCCCAAGACCUGAAUUAUUUAUUAUGACUAGAUAUUAAUUUUGAAGAGCUCUGUAUUUUUCUCUGAGUGUUUUCUUUUUAGUGGCAAGCUGUUCCUGUUUCAAGGAACCAAUAUAUUCUAUGAUCUUUUUCCAGAUAGUCUAUUAGAGUACCAGAGGUCAGUAUUUAGACUUUCAGUUAAUUCUCUAUUUAAAUAAUCUUACCCAGCCCUAGUUUUGCCUGAUGGUCUGGAGUCCAGAGUGAUCCUCUUUGGUUCGGUUAUCAGCCUCUGGUCUUCCUUAGCAUAAGGUGGGGGAUCCUGAAGGUUCUACCACACUAUAUUCACUCUUUCCUCCAGUUUUCCUGUAUUUAGAAUAGAACUAAAAAACCCAGGGCUUUUAUCAUUCCUGAUGCUUGCAAAUGUUGAGCCAGGAAUUUUACAGGCCAAACUGGCCCACUUAUUGGUAGUAUUUCUGUCUAUAUGCAGUUAAGUUGUAACUUUCUCUAAUCUGCGGAGUCAGAUAGUAUCUGACUCCUCUACUCACCUUCACUUUUUCCAGAUCUUAGCUGAAAUUGCUGAUAUAUUGUUGAUUCCUUUCUUGAUCAAUUUGUCUUGUGUUCCUUUGCUUUCAUUUUGUCUGGGUUUUGUGAGAAAUGAGGGAUGUUUGUAGUCUAUUGAUCAUUUUUAACCUGAAGUCCCCCUCAGGAAUAUAACUUUUUUGAUUUACCUUUUAAUGCAAAAGAGAUCAUCCAAAGGGGUUUUUGAAGGCCAGGAAUGCUUUAGAUUCUUUGUCCUCCUGAAUUGCUGAAUUGUCCCUCUAAAUCAGCCUUUAGGAGCCAAUUGAUUUGUCCAAGCCAUCUUGAAUAAACAAGACUCUGAGGCAAGGCCAAUGUUUGGGAAUGGGACCUGUGUGGUAUUGCAGGGCACUGCUCUCAGAAGUGUUCUGAGCUGGUUUAACCUUCUGUUGUCUCUGUCUUAAAACUUCUUUUUUAAACGUAGUGUCUCAUUUUGUUUGCUCAAGGCCCCCAAAAUAUGAAAUUGCCCUAAUCUGAAGCGUAAAAUUAUGAUGUUUAAAUAUAAUUUGUAGGAUCACGAAGUCCCAGGGCUCUCCAGCUUAAGUUUUCUUCUGUAAAUUCCUUGCCUGUAGCCAUGUAACUGCUGGCUCAUUUUUUCCCUCCCUCCCUCCCUCUCGCUCUCUUUCUUAAAAAAAAAUAUAUAUUUUAUUACACUUAUUAUAUAUUAUAUUAUAUAUAUAAUAUAUAUAUAUUUACUUUCCAACUUUUAAGUUCAAGGGGUACAUGUGCAGGUUUGUUACAUGAGUAAAUUGCAUAUCAUAGCGUUUUGGUGUACAGAUAAUUUUGUCAUCCAGAUAACCAGCAUAAUACCCAAGAGUAUUUUUUCAAGAGCAGUUUUUCAAUGCUCAUUUUUAAGGAUGGGUAGCUCACUGUCUUCUUAGCGAUUUCUUUCCUUUCUGGACCUACCUCACUGAUAGAAAGUUCUGUCUUACCUCAAUAUGAAAUAUUUAUCUUUCAUUUAAUCUAUGUUCAUUCUGUGUUUUAUAUAACAAAUUCAGCAAAUUAUGUGUGACAAACAAAUAUAUAUUUCUGUUUUUAUUCUAAAAGACAUACACAUCAUGGCAAUGUUGGAAAAUAUUGAAAACCAUAAAAUAUAAUUACUGCUAAUUUCUCGAUUGAGAAAUAAGCAUUUUUAACCUGUUGACAUAUUUCUUUUUUAUCUUUUUGUAUGCAUAGCUAGUAACAAUAACACUGAUAAGGGUAGUAGCUGAUUUACUUAGUGUUUUUAAUGUGCUAGGGAUUGCGUUAACUGCUUUAAAAGAAUUACUGCACUCAUUAGACAGACAAAUAUAAUUAGAGAGAAAUGGGUUUAUUUUGCAUAAAUGUAAAGAUUUUAAUGUAUAUGUAGUUCUUUGCUUUUGUUCCACUGAAUAUCAUAUUGUCAGCACUUUUCAAAAUUAAGAAAUUAUUUUAAAUUUGUUUUUAUUUUAUUUUUUAUAAUUUCAACUUUUAUUUUAGAUUCAAGGGGUACAUGUGCAGGUUGUUACGAGGGUGUAUUGUGUGAUGCAUCUCCUGAUCUCGUGAUCUGCCCGCCUCGGCCUCCCAAAGUACUGGGAUUACAGGCCUGAGCCACUGCACCCGGCCCAUAUUUUCUUUAUUCAAUCCACCAUGGAUGGGCACAUAGGUUGAUUCCAUAGCUUUCCUAUUGUGAAUCAUGUUGCAAUAAACAUGUGAGUGCCUGUGUCUUUUCGGUAAAAUGAUUUCUUUUCUUUUGGCUAUAUGCCCAGUAAUGGGAUUUCUGGAUCAAUUGAUAGUUCUGUCUGAAGUUCUUUGAGACAUCUUCAAACUGUUUCCACAGUGGCUGAGCUAAUUUACAUUCCCACCAAAAGCGUGUGUUUCCUUUUCUCCGUAGCCUUGCCAGCAUGGAUUGUUUUUUUUUUUUUGACUUUUUAAUAAUAAUUAUUCUGACUGGUGUGAGAUGGUUUUGAUUUGCAUUUCUCUGAUGGUUCGUGAUGUUGAGCAUUUUUUCAUAUGUUUGUUGGCCACACGUGUGUCUUCUUUUGAAAAGGGUCUGUUCUGUCUUUUGCCCACUUUUUAAUGGAGUUAUUUGUUUUUUUCUCAUUGAAUUGUUUACAUUCCUUAUAGAUUGUAGAUAUUAGACCUUUGUUAGAUGCAUAGUUUGCAAAUAUUUUUUCUCGUUCUGUAGGUUGCCUGUUUAUUCUGUUGAUAGUUUCAUUUGCUGUGCAUAAACUCUUUAGUUUGAUUAGGUCCCAUCUAUCAAUUUUCGUUUUUGUUGCAGUUGCAUCAGAAAUAAGAAAAUUAAAAAAAAACCCAUAAUUACUCUAUGGACAGAAAAUGAUGACGGGUCAUUUCAUUCCUUUUGCAGAGUGCCAAGAUGUGUGACCUUGGGAAAGUCACUUUCUUCUUAAAAUUAUAGUUUCUUCUUUUGUAAAAUAUGUAUCUAGUACUUCCCCUUCAUUUGCAGUUUCACUUCCUGUAGUCUGAAAAUAUUAGAUGGAAAUUUUCAGAAGUAAACAACUCUUAGGUUUUAAAUUGCACAUCAUUCUGAGUAUUGUUAUAAAUGCUCUAUUUUAUUAUUAGAGUUAUUGCUGUUAAUCUCUUACUGUGAAUAAUUUAUAAAGUAGACUUUAUUAUAGAUGUGUAUAUAGAGAAAAAACAGUAUAUAUAAAGUUUGGUACUGUCAUGGCUUUAGGCAUCCACUGGGGGUCUUGGGAGGUAUCCCCCACAGAUAAGUGGGGCCAACUGUAAUCUAAUAUCUGCCUUGUCUACCUUUCAGGAUUAUGAGGGUGAACAACAAAAAUAAAAACAACAACCAUCGAUUGCUACCAUUGAAACCUUUUUCUGUGUUAGACUUUCACACACAUUGUUAUCACUUACUAUGAUUAUUUUACCAAUCCAAUAAAGCAGGUGAAAUACUGCUUUCUGUAAGAGAAAAUUGAGGCUUGAAGGUGUAUGUGGCUUGCUGAAGGACAUCGAGGAGGAGCUGGUCAGUUGGGUGAUAAGCUCAGAGCCCAUGCCUGAUGGAAUUCUGGAUAUAGGAGAGCUGCCUCCCUUCAAAGGGCAUGUAUUUGCAGCAAACGUUUGCUCCAUUCAUUUCCUAGGAUGAACUUUCAAAAGUUUUACUCCUUUGGACGACCUCUUCUUUUUCAUGUUGUUUGGUUCUGGAAUAUAUGUUACCUGUUGCCAGAACUCUGGGGCUGCAUUUAAGCAGCAUCCAUAGAGAGAUGUACACCUUAAAUGGACUGGUAAUCAUUCAGGAUUUGUAACUUUUAAAAGGCUGAAAAAGGGAGUAAAUACAUUUAUCCUUCUGCCUCUUAUUUAUCUCUCACCACAACCUCAAUAUUCUUGAUAUCUUCCUCAAAAUCCAUCAUGAAACACAACUUGAGUGUCUAUUCAUAGCCUCUUUGAGGCUGUGAUGGAUACAGAGUUUACUCCUAAACCUUCCCCUCUGAUUUUACUUUUAAAAGUGCAGUGAUCACUUUUCUCUUGAAAAACGAAACCUUCAUUCAAUACCUUUUACUUAGUCAAGUCAGUGCCAUGGCCUUGGUGUCCGAAGUUCUCUUGGAGAAUAUUGUACUUUCUCAUUUUCUCGGCUGGGUCUAGCCUUACUUUGGGCAAGAAAAUAAAAUAAAAUAAAAUAAAAAUAAAAUGUAAGAAGUCAUAUAGACCAGUUCUGAGCAGAAGCUUUAAGAACCAUUGCAUGAUCCUUUUGUGCCUUUAUUCAUUCUACCCAUAGAACAUCAAUUCCCAGGUAAGGGAUGCUCCUUCAGCCUUUGUUCUGGAAGGAAGAAAAUGAGGAUCAGAGGACAGUCCACUGUGAUGGGCAUAUAACAUGGGUCAGAAAUAAACCUUUAUUGCUCUAACCCACUGAGAUGUUUGGGGGCUUAUUUGUUAUAGUCGCAUGGUUUCUACAAUGCUGACUGAUACAGUGGGUUAUGCCUAUGGCUUUCCUUUUAUUCAAUCAGAAAUGAACAAUCAUUUGUUAUUACUUCAACUCUUCAAAUAUGUGUGACUGUGCACUGCAGAAUGCUCUAUGCUAUAGCAAUGGUUCUUAACCUUGGCUAUCCAUUAGAAAAAUCUAAGAAAGUUCUGUCUGUUUUGUUUAAUGUGAAUCCUCUGGCUCCAUUCAGGACCAAAUGAGUUGGAAUUUCAGGGUGUAAGUCCCCAAGCAUUGGCAUCUUAAAAAGCUCUGUAGGAGUUUGUAUAAUGAAGACAGGAGUGAGAACUAUUUCUCUAGAGGGAAAGAAGUCUGGAUUCUUCAGAGAUAAAGGCAGUCAGUGAAAUAAACCAUACACUUGGCAGAAAAGCAGUAGAUCAGAAAAAUUCCAGGAAAAAGGAAAAAUAAUGAUGUGACUGACACAAAUGAAGAAAGAAAAAGUGAGUGCCUGUCCCUAGGCCAGUUUUGCAGCAAGAAGAAGACAGUCUGAGAGCCACUGAGGCAUCUGGCGUGGAGUAAGGAAGGUAAUGGAUUUUAUGCCAGUGGGGAAUAGAAUCUCUCAGAAAUUAAUUGUAACCUAUGUUUCAAGGAGUUCCAUAACAUCAAGAAAGACCAAAAUAAUUUCUCCUUUUUACGUGUUCAACCAUCAUCACACAGCCAGAAUCUACUCAUAGGAAAUUAGAAGUGCAAGGAAAAAAAUAGGGUUUCCAACUUCAUAUAUUAGCUGUUAUUUUAGUAUUGUAUUAUAUCAAAGAUUAACCAUAUAAUUUUGGAUAAAAGUGAAGUUGCAAAUUUCCAGAAGUGUUAGGAAAAGGGAGAACAAAAUAUUAUAAGUAACAAUAUUCUAUGGAUAUUGCUAUGUUUGGAAGUAGGUGUACAAAUCCACUAACACUGGCAUUACCAGUUCAUUGAGAACAAAACACAAGGUUACACAUUGUGACAUAUACAGUGGCUAUAAAAUUCAACGUGUCUCUACAAGAUCAGUCAAGUCGGGGAGAUAAGAUAGCCUCAGAAGAUCAAAGUGUAUAGCCUUUUACUCUUGAGUAAAUUAUACCUAUCCACUCAUCCAUCCAUCCAUCCAUCUUUCCUACAUUUAUUGAGCAUUCAGUAUUCAUUCAUUUAAUUCUUUCAGUCAACACUUAUUGAGAGCAUACAUAUGUCAGGCACCAAUGCCAGGUUAAAAAAAUUCCCAAUAUAUGCUUAUCUCAUAAGAUAUAGUGAAAACCAAAUAAGAUAAUGUAGAUAGAAAGGCUACAUGUAUACAUUUUUUUCCUUGAGAUGGAGUCUCACUCUGUCACCCAGGCUGGAGUGCAAUGGCAUGCAAUCUUGGCUCACUGCAGCCUCUGUCUCCUGGGUUCAAGCAAUUCUCCUGCCUCAGCCCCCCAAGUAGUUGGGAUUACAGGUGCACUAACCACACCCAGCUAAUUUUUUGUAUUUUUAGUAGAGACAGGGCUUCACCAUGUUGGCCAGGCUGUCCUUGAACUCGUGACCUCAGGUGAUCUGCCAGCGUUGGACUCCCAAAGUGCUGGGGUUACAGGCAUGAGCCACCAUGCCCAGCCUUAUAUGUAUACUUUGACAAGCUAUUUAGACAUAAAGGAUUAUUAUCAUCCAAUCUCUAGUAUCACUGCUCUGUCAUCCAGUGUUCUGAUAUUUUUCAAUCUGUUGACAGGCACAAAUAUUUCCCAGGACUCCAUAGGCCAGCAAUUUAAAAACUGGAAACAUUCAUAAAUAUACAAGUUGACUAAUUAGUCCUUAAUUAGUUAGCAGAUUGCAUAUUUUAAUCACCCUAAGAUAUAUUGGUUAAUGUCAUGAAAUGAAAAUAAAAGUUUGGCUGCAUUAUAUUAGGUCAAAAUUUACAUAAAGACUUGAUUAAAAUAUUUAAUGGCACCUGCCAAUCUGAGGCAUGGUUAGCCAGACAGUCAGUGGCAUUUUUGAGAUCUUGCUGCUCUUUGGCAGUUUGGGCAUCAAAUUAACAGGUUAUCUCUUAAUUCAAUCAAGGAAAACUGGAAUAUUUUAAACAUCUAUAAUAUUGCAAGAUCUUUACUGAGCACUCUGUAAAGAAAUGUAAGCAUUAUCAGCCUGUGUUGCAUUUGAAGAAACUGAAUUUUCUAUGCAUUCGAAUAGCAUAGAAAGGUGAAGAAACUAGCCUGAGAUCAUUCAGAUGAAACAUAGGUCGACAGUGGUUAUGCAUGGCCAGAAGACAAAUCUUAUCCUAGUUGAUUUGUUAUGAAUUAUCCAUAGAACUUCUGCCUGAGGGUCCUGACUUACAAGGUGACUGAACCCCCAUGUUGAUCAUUUCCUUGUUUCAGAAGCUGGUCCUUGAGUUUUCCCAUUUGGAAAUUCGGCUUAUUUGUAACAUGCAUCCCAUGCUAAUGAAAUCAAUUGAGAACAAUGCAAACACCAAGAUGUCCAUUUAUUAAUUUAAAAUGAGAAAGAAAAAAAUGUCUUGACAGCAUAAGAUUUUUGAGUCCUCUGGUGAACAUGUUUCUUGCUGAAACCACAGGCAAAUAAAUCUGAGGAUUCCUUAAUGUAUGUACCUUAACGAACAUACAUUGAAUAAACUCUCUUUAAAAUGGAGUGAUACCUGUUAAGGGGGGUUAAAUUAUACUUAACCUUCUAAUCAAAAGGCACUUUGUUUCAGACAGAGCUGAAGACUCUCAAUUACUGCUAUUGGUGCUUUGUGACCUUGUAUUUACACUGAGCUGAUUCAGUUGGCAAGGAAAGUCAAGAUAGGACAAUCCUAAAUUACUUCUGGCAUCUCACACCUUACAAAGUCUGCCUGCCUCUAGGCUGUUGCUUUUCAACCUCCAAUUUAGUUAUAUUUUGUUUGCUAUUAGUCACUGAACUGAUCUUGGAUCUCUCAGCUCUUCCCUUGGUUCUCUCUAGGACUAUGUAUCUGAUGUACAAUUUUAGUUAAUAAUUUUUCUGACCUUGAUUUCAGCCCCAAGAACCCAACUUUCCUAAAAUGGUCCAACUAAGUGGGAGUACCCCUGAUUCCACCUUGUUGGAAGAGGUAAAUGUUCAUUGUCUUCUCUCUCCCAAGCUUCCUCUCACACAAAAUCCAUUUUUAUUUCAGUAUUUUUUUCUCAGAUACAUUCACAUCUCUGAUUUUCUUGCACUUAAGACUUUUUUCUUUUAGUUUUUCUUGCAGUUAAGAGGACGUGUGAGUAGAUUGCCAGGGUCUUGUUCCUUCUGCAUUUUCCCGAAGAAAUGGUUCAGUUGAACAUAGGCUUCUGAAGAUAUCUGAUCUCAUUCACUACAUGUUGAUUUUACUUGGUUAUAUCUCAGAGUUUAGAGAUGCUCUAUUUUUUCCUUUAUGCCACUUAAUAAAAGAAUAGUACCUUUGGGGGAUAUUCCUUUAUAAUUUAUAAAUUAUUUUCAUGCUCAUUCUCUCAUCUCUGAAUAGCCCCUGAAAAGGAGACUACUGUGGAGUAAAUACCUCAUUUCAGUGAUUUUUUUGGAUUUUCCUCUUACAUCUGUGCUUUUGUGACUUGGCUGGAAAUAUCAGAGCAACUGACAGAGGCCACAUAGUGCCUCUAGACAAGGAGACUGAGAAAAGACAAAAGAAACAUUAAAAAACAAAAUUAACAAUAAAAACAAAAGCAGACUUUACAGAAGGAAGAAAGCUGGGCAAAUGGCCAGGCUCUGCACAUGUUGCAUCAGCUUCAGAAAGAAAUCCUCUUGGCCAAAGCACGUGGAGUCAGAAUCUUUGCCAAUGGGCUGCACAAAUGAGGAUUUAGAUGUACAAAUGGCAUUGCCCAGUGAGCUACUGGCACGUUCCUGUGCUUUCCAUGCUCCUGUAAAUUCUUCUCGAAAGGUGAAUUGUUUUUAACAAUCAAAGCCUGGCUUUGAUGGUAGCUGCCAUGAGGCAGGCCUUAGCCCCGGGGUCUGCACAUGGACCCUCCUGCUUGCUCUGAUCACUCACACCCCGCACCUCAGUCCCCAUCCAGCAACUGCUGUGUCCUCCCCUUCCCGUGGCUUCUUUUUCUUUAAGUGGGAUUUCUCCCAGUUUGGGCCCCUGCUCAGCUGCCUCAGUUGGCAAUAGCUAUUGGGAAUGGGUGUUCAGAGCCUCCAGCUGCCUCCCCAAGGCAGCCAGUACUCCACCCUUCUCAAAAGCUCUGCAUGUCUGGCUUGUCUUUCUGCUUUGUGUCUCUCUUUUCUCUUAUUCACAAAUAUACUACUUAAAAAUAAAAUUUAACGAACAAAGAACCUCCCUGCUCAUACCAUGUUCUUGCUCAUACCUAUGCAGAGUCUUUCCAUUAUCUUUGAUGCCAGGCCUAGCAUCCCAGGUGCGGAAGUUUGGGCCUCUCAUGAUGCAGCAAUGAGUGCCCACAGGACGUGGCCUGAGCAUUUCUCUUGGCAAAUGUCAUUGCUUGCUGUGUGUGGUGCUACGGGGGUGUGAGUCUUCUGACUUUCAGCCUCUUGAGGGCUGGGUCCACAUCUGCAUGUCUGACUGAAUCUGAUACUUCUCACAGCACAAGGCAGAGCUCCUGAUUCAGGGUAUAUGUUCUGUGAAUAUUUGCUGCAUGCAAAAAAGAAUGAAUGAGUUAUCUGAGUAACAUUGUGCAUCCGAGCAAAGCAGGAGCUGUGAUAUUGAACAAAAGACUUGAAUGACUGCUUUUUUCUUAUGCAUUCUUUUAUUUGGAAAAUAUUUUUAAGCAGAAAAUCAUGAAGAAUAAUAAAAACAAAGUAUCUUGCACCCAUUAUCUAAAACUGAAUUGGUAAUGGUUUUUCUUCAUAUCUGCUUUAGAUCUUUAAUAAAUGAAAUAAAUGUGACUGUAUGUCCUACAUCCCAUUCCUGUUGUCUUCCAUGUCUCCUCAGAGAUUGUGCCUGCAGCCUGGCCUGUUGCCCACAGCGGUCUACCUGCCACACUGGGAAAGAUCGAGCAGAGACAGAGAAGAAAAGGAGGCUCCAUUUUUCAGGCUGCUCUCCCGCAGGCUCAUGUUUUGUGUUCAUGCCAGGCAGAGAACACAAAAUGUUCCAAUAAAUAAGUAUCAAAGGUUAGUGGUGAAAAUGAAGGAGGAGGAGGCAUUGCGUGAAAAACUAAACAUGCAAAAUAUUACACACAAAGAGAACCAAAAUGCAGGUUCACUGGAAAUGAUAGACAAUAUGUUAAAACAAGAGGAGAGAAGAGAGCUGAAAUAAUCAAAUGGAAACACACAAUUUAGGGCUAAGAUCUUGUUGUGUUCAGCCACAAAUGAUGGCCAGCAGUGAGGAAUCUGUGUGUUCUCCACACUCUUCGCUCCUGGGAAGUCAACUCACAUGGACCAUGAUAUCAAUAUCUGCUCCUUCCCCUAAUAUCUGUUUGACCUUGGGUCAGUUACUUAAACUUCCUAAGCCUUAGUUUCUUUGUCUGGAAAAUAGGGAUAGUUAUACCUACCACACAACCACUUUGUAAUGAAUAUGUUGGAAAUUAUAUGCAAAUUGGCUUCCGUUGGUGUUUGGAACAUAGUAGGUUUUUAACUGGAAUAUAAUAGCUACCAUUAUCAGUAUCAUCAUAUUAAUUUAUAUUUCCAUCUUCAGCCCUUAACCCAGGAUCUUCAGUAAAUGUUGAAUUCUCAAAUUUGUUAAAUUCACUUGUCUAUACUAAUAUUUUACUCUAGGUUUCUUAGAAUAUUCUAGAUAAUAUUAUUAUGUAGAAUAUGUUAUGUAAGCUUCAUCUUAUCUGUAAAUAUAGUUUUACUUUUUCCUUUCUAAUUUUUAUGUCGAUUACUUCUUUUUCUUGGCUUAUUGAAUUGGCUAGGAUUCCCGUACAGUGUUGAAUACGUGCAGCAAGACUGCACAUCUUGCCUUGUUCCUGGUCCCACAGAGAGAAUAUCCAGUACUUCACAAUAAGUAUGUGUUAAUUGUAGAUUUUAUUAGAUUGAGGAAGUUCCCUUUCCUUUCAAGUCAGUCUUUUUAUUUUAAACAUGUAUUGAAGUUUUGUCAAAUGUCUUCAUCUAUUGGAAUAAUUAUACAUAUCUCUUUUUUAUUCUGUUAAUAUUACAUUUCAAUCUUCUGUCUACCUAAAAUCCCUAGAAUAAUCUCCAUUUGGCUAUGAUGUGUUGUGCUUUUAUAUAUUACUGAAUUCUAUAUGCCAAUAUUAUUAAAAUUUUCUGUCUUUAUGAGAAAUAUUUGAAUGUAUAUUUUUUCAUGUAUUUGUUUUGAUUUUAUUUUCAAUGCCAUUUUGUAAAAGAGCAUUAAAGUGUUAGUAUGAAAGUACUUACUCACCCUCUAUUUCAUGAAUAUGUUUUUAUAAGACUAUCAUUAUUCCUUCCUUAAAUGGUUUAUAGAAUGUGCUUCUUUGGAGUUUUAUUUGCAUGAAUUUUUUUUUUUUUUUUUUUUUUUUUUUUUUGAGAUGGAGUCUCGCUCUGUUACCUGGACUGGAGUGCAGUGGUGCUGUCUUGGCUCACUGCAACCUCCACCUCCUGGGUUCAAGCGAUUCUCCCAUCUCAGACUUUCAGCCUCCCAAGUAGCUGGGAUUACAGGUGUGUGCCACCACACCUGGCUAAUUUUUGUAUUUUUUUGUAGAGACAGGGUUUCACCAUGUUGGCCAGGCUGGUCUUGAACUCCUGACCUCAAGUGAUCCACCUGCCUUGGCCUCCCAAAGUACUGGGAUUACAAGUGUGAGCCACUGCGCCCACCCUGCUUGAAUAUUUUUAAUUAAAAGUUAAAUUUCCUUAAUUAAUAUGAAUAUUCAGCCUUUAUACUUUCUUUUUGUGUUUAUUAGGUAGUUUAUAUAUGGAAGUAUUUUUUUAUUUUGUUUAAAUUGUCAAAUUCAUUGGUAUAGAAUUGUUCAUAAUAAUCCAUCAUUAUUCUUUUUACGUCUCCACAAUCUUUGUUGAUAGUCCCUCUUUUUUUCUGAUGCAGGCAAUUUGUUUACCCUUUCUUUUUACUUGAGGAAUCUAGCUAGAGAUUAGCCAUUUUUCUCAAUCCUUCAAAGAAGCCAAUUUUUGUUUUCAUGCAUUUUCAUUAGUUUGUUUUUUGUUUCAUUGAUUUCUACUCUAAUGUUUGCUAUCACCUUCUUCAUUUACUUUGAAUUUAAUAUGCUCUUCUUUAUCCAGCUGUGUAGUGUGUGAACUUAGAGAAUUAACUUUAGUCCUUUCUUCUUUUAAUACUACCAGUUAAAGCUAAUGUUUUCCCUUGAAGCAUUGCUUUAGCUGCAUCUCAAAACAUUUGACAUAUUUUUUUCUUCAGUUCGAAAUAUCUUCCUAUUUCCCUUAUGCCUUCUAUGGUAGAUGGCUUAUUCAGCAGUGCGUUGUUUGUUUUCUACACAUGGGAAUUUUCAACAUAUCUUUCUGACAAUAAUUUCUAUUCUAAUUUCAUUGUGGCCAGAGAGCAUACUCUGACUGCAGUUGUGGAAAACUUACUGAGCCUUCUUUAUGGCUGAGAAUAUCAUGGUAAAAAAUAUAUAUAUUUUGCUGUUUGGUGGUAUGUUCUGUAAAUGUCAAUCCUAUUAAAUUAUAUGACAGUGUUGUUCAAAUAUUUCAUAUUCUAAUUGUUCUAUCAAUUACUGAGAGAUGAAUGUUGAAAUCUCCAACUAAAAUUGUGGAUUUGUCUCUUCUCCAUUCAGAUUGGUCAGCUUUCGCUGAAUUUAAAGAUUUGUAACUAGGUGCAUGUACGUUUUUAUGUCUUCUUAAUGAAUUAAACCUGAUAUAGUUUGGGUAUGGUUUGUUCCCACCAAAACUCGUGUUGAAAUUUUAAUUACCAAUGUGGCUGUUUUGGAAGAUGAGGCCUCAAGGGAGAUGUUGGGUCAUGGGAGCAGUUCCCUCAUGAGUGUCCUGGUGCCAUUCUCAUGGUCCUCAUGGCGGUGAGUUUUUUUUGUUUUUUUUGUUUUUUGAGAUGGAGUCUUGCUCUGUCGCCCAGGCUGGAGUGCAGUGGAGCGAUCUCGGCUUACUGCAACCUUCGUCUCCAGGGUUCAAGCGAUUCUCCUGCCUCAGCCUUCAGAGUAGCUGGGACUACAGGCACGCGCCACCACGCCCGGCUAAUUUUUGUAAUUUUAGUAGAGACGGGGUUUCACCAUAUUGGUCAGGCUGGUCUGGAACUCUAUUUCAUUUCAUUUCAUUUCAUUUUAUUAUUUUAUUUUAUUUUAUUUUAUUUUAUUUUAUUUUAUUUUAUUUUAUUUUAUUUUAUUUUAUUUUAUUUUAUUUUUUUGAGACGGAGUCUCACUCUUUCGCCCAGGCUGGAGUGCACUGGCGUGAUCUUGGCUCACUGUGAGCUCUGCCUCCCGUGUUCACGUCAUUCUCCUGCCUCAGCCUCCCACGUAGCUGGGACUACAGGCGCCCGCCACCAUGCCCGGCUAAUUUUUUUUUGUAUUUUUAGUAGAGACGGGGUUUCACCGCGUUAGCCAGGAUGGUCUCGAUCUCCUGACCUCAUGAUCCGCCUGCCUCGGCCUCCCAAACUGCUGGGAUUACAGGUGUGAGCUACUGUUCCUGGCCGUGAGUUCUUAUUCUUACCUGGAUUAGUUCUCUUGGGAAUGGAUUAGUUCCUGUGAGAGACGGUUUUUAUAAAAUGAAGUUUCCCAUCCUGUUUGAUCUCUCCUCAUGCGUUUGUGCUUCCCCUUUGGCCUUCUCCGCCAUGUAAUACUGCAGCAUGAAAAGCCCCACCAGAAAGUGAGUAGAUGCCACGGCCGUGUUUCUUAUACCUCCUAGAUUGCAGAACUGUGAGCUCAAUACACCUUUUUUUUUAAAUAAAUUACCCAGCCUCAGAUAUUCUGUUAUAGUAACAGUAAACAAACUAAGACAGUCUCCUUUAUGCCUAUAAAAUGCUUCUCUUUAUCUCUAGUAAUCCUCAUUCUGAAUUCUACUUUGUCUUAUUUUAUAUAACCAUUCUGCUUUCUUAUAAUUGGGGUUUGAAUAAUUUCCCCUUUUCAAUAUUUUAAAAAUAGCUGGGUCUUUGUAUUUAAAAUGGUGUCAUGUAGACUGCAUAUUUGUUCAGUCUGAUAAUUUUUGUCUUUUAUCAGUUUUCAUCAUUUACAUUUAGUGUGAUUAUCAAUAUGUUUGGGUUUUCAUCUACCCAUUGCUAUUUUAAAAAUUUGUCUCAUGUUUUCUUUGCCCUUUUCCUUUUGUGACUUCUUUUAAUUAAUUAUGUUUAAUAUUUUGUAUUAUUUCACAUAUUGGCAUAUUAACUUUGUUUUAAUAGCUGAUGUAUGGCUUACAGUGUGUAUCUUUACAUUUAUCACAGUAUUUCUUUAAGUAGUACUUACACUACUAUGUUUAAUAUAAGAAUCUUCUAAUCGAAUACUUCCUUUCCCCCUUUAGUCAUUCGUUUUCUUUUUUAAAUCAUGUUUUAAUUCUAUAUAUAGUAUAAACCCCAAAGUAUAGUGUCCUAAUAUUUUUCUUUAACUAAUUAAUUAUAUUUCCAGUAAAUUAAAAAUGUCAUUUAUAUUUAUCCAUAUAUGUGCCAUUUCUAGCACUCUUCAUUCUUUUCUGCUGGUCUAACUUUCUACAUUUCAUGCACAUUUUUUCUAAAGAAAUUUCCUCAGUGUUUUUUAUAUGCCACAUCUGCUGGCAAUAAAUUCUCUCAACCUGUGUUUGUCUGAAAAUAUCUUUUUUUGUCCAAAGUUUUCAAAAGUACUUUUUUUCUGAUAUAGAAUUAUUGGUUUCCUGUGUUUUCCUUUUGGCACUAUAAGGCUUUAAGCCAUUUUCUCUAGCUUGCAGACAUUCGGACGAGAAGUCUUCACUCAUUUUUAUCUUUCUUUCUCUGUACAUAACAUGUGUUUUCUUCUACAGAAGAUUUUUGAGAUUUUAGCAUAACAUUUAGCCAUUUGAUUUUAGUUUGUCAUAGUGUGGGUUUUCAUUUUCUUUAUCUUUUGAAAUUCUUAAUCUGUGGUUUUAUACUUUUUUAGAAAUUUGAAUAUUUUUCAGCCAUUAUUUUUCUCAAAGACUUUAUCUGCCCCUUCUCUCACUUUUGAGGAUACACAACAUGUAUAUUAUGUCUUGUUGCCUUAUUUUGCCCCACAGAUUACUAAAGCCCUGUCCAUUUUCUUCAAUCAAUCUUCUAUCUGUACUUCAUUGUGAAUAGUAUUUGUAGCUAUACCUUCACAUUAACUGACAAUUUCUUCUUCAGCACCUAAUCUGCUGUUAAUCUCAGUGAGUAAAAUGUUCAUUUCAAAGGUUGUAGUUUUCAUUUUUCAAAGAAGUUCCACUUGAUAUUUUUUAAUAUCUUCCAUUUAUUUUUGUAUUGUAUUCUUAGUUUCUUUUAAAUCCUUGAGCAUAUUGAAUGUAUUUUUAAAAGCAACUUUAGUCUCUGUGUCCUGUUUCUGUCAUCUCUGUAUUUUCUGGGUCUGCUUCUACUGAUUAUUUUUUCUCUUGAUUAUGAUCCACUUUCAUGCUUAUUUGUAUGCCUGGCAAUUUUUAAGAGGAUAUUAAACAUUGUAUACUUUGCGGUAUUGAGUGCUGAAUUUUUUGCUCUCUUCUUUCAAAGGGUGUUUGACUUUGUUCUGCUGAUGGUUAAGUUACUGAAAGAUCAACUCUAUCCUUUUGUGAUUUAAUUUAAAACUAUCAUGGGAUAGCAUUUAUUUUGGUUAUUUUAGUGCUAUUACUAAGUUGUAUCCUUCUGCGAUAAUUUCCAAAUGCCCCUGGUUUUUCUUGAGGACUCUCCACUGUUUAGAAGUUGGACAUAUCCUAGCCCUGUGUAAUAUUAUUCAGCUUAUAGUUUCCUUAUCAUUCUUUGCCUGGUUUCUUGUAGUCUUAAUGAACAUACAUAUGCCAUUGUAUCUAGUAAUUGACUCAAGGGAACAUUUAUGGACAUGUGUGGUACUUUGUAAAUUUUUCCUACCUCUCUAGUUGUCUACAUUCCUAGUUACAGUCACCUAAACCUCUUUGAACUCUGAUAUUAGUCUCUUUAGCUUAGUAAGAAUGCCAUUGUCUUUUUGGGUACCUUUACUUUAUGGUCUGGAACAUACAUCCAGGUAGAAAUUUGGGACAAUUGUAGCACUCAUAUCUUUGUUUCCUUCCUCAUAAGGAUCACAGUCCUGUGCUUCUUAUUGCAAAAUGCAGAAAAUUUUUUUUUCAUGUUUUUCCUUGUUUUCUACUCACUUGAGUCAGGAGGGUAGGUCUGGUUUCAGUCAUCCAUCAUGGCUGCAAAGGAAAGUUGAUGUACUCCCUUUUAAAAGAGUUAAUGACAUAAUCAAAUCAAAUGAUUCAAUUAGAUGCUGAAAUGAGAGCACAAGCUAAUGGUCAAGAGCUUUCUAUUCUACCUCUGUCACAAGUUGCAGUUUCAUACCUCACCGUUUCAGAAUGAUGCCCUUCUUUAGUUAUUGUAUUCAGGUCAAGUCCAUGGGCAGUUGCCAAUUUAAUUGCUAUCAGUUCUCUUCCACAAUUGUUCAGAUUCAAGUUAUUUUGUCCUUUGCAUUCAGACUUAACACACUUCAUCUACAGGAGCUAAGUUUAAGUACAGGGAUGUCUCUGUUCCAAACAGCCUGUUAAAUUAGCUCAGUGUUAGAAUUUUCUGCCUAUUUUGCUGUUUCCUCCACUAAACUAUGAUCUCAUUGAAAAAGUUACAACUAUAAUAUUAUUUGUAUUCAUAGCAUUUAGUAUAGUACUUGACUCAUGGUAUGCCUUCCAAUACCUAUUAGUAGAACAAACACAAAUACCCUUAAGAACAUUUUUUUGUAAUGUGUUAGGAGGAUAUAGAUACCAAGGUAAUUCAAGUUAUCUCGAGUCAUCUCCCUUCAUCUUUACUUUUUUUCUUAAUUACACAAAGUACAGAUAUUUAUAGCUUUCUACCUAUAAAUCUGCAUAUAUUUUCCUAACUCUGUUUACCUUCAAAUUCAACAAUUACAAUUUGAGUUUUAGGUAUUUGAUCAAAAUUUAUUCCAUGUACUAUCUUUGGGAAAUCUUAUCUGAGCCCCUGCUAUAUACACUGAUGAAUUCUAAAUACCCUAUCUCCAUCUCUUAUGUCUGGACUCUUGAGUUCCAGACUGGAAAUUUCCACUUGACUAUGCCCAGGUACCUCAAUUUUAAUUAUGUCCAAAAUGAAACUUCAUUUCCCCCUUAAUUCUGUUUUCUUUUCCUGUGUUUUCUAUGAUGCUUUUCAGAUAAAGUCCAAAGCCCUUACCGUGGCAUACAAAAUCCUUCAACAUCUAUCCCCUGAUGGCUUUAGCUUUUGCUGAAACACUGAUCCUCUCAACUCUCUAUCACAUUUCACAACUUCGGUUAUUAUAUUUAUUCAUUUAUUCCUUUAUUAUUCUUUCAACCUACUGUGGUAGACACUUUCUGGCUUCUUCAGAUCCAUUCUUCACCCUUCUCACCAGCUGUGUGCCCAGGAUGCUGCCGUGUAUGGGUUAUACUAACAGUAUUCUUCGCUCUGGUAUCUGAUUGAGUUUGGUCUGUAAAGAGUCUGGAGAAGAGGUCAAGAGUGGGAGGUCCUACACAUCCCCUCCAAAUUCAUGUGUUGAACCCCUAGCCCCCAGUGUGAUUGCAUUUGGAGAUGGGGCUUUUUUAACCUCUCUGAAUGGUCAGAAUAGACUAUGUUAUGUUGCAUUACAGUAGUGGAAACGGAUACAUUUUCAGGACUGAAGAACUUACUUUUUUCAGCUUCUAGGAGUGUCUCAGCUGUCAGUACUUUCCAGGAAUUCCCCUUGGCUGAAGACAGCCACUUCACUUAAGAUCACAACUCCUUCCUGGGAGCAGCCUUCAUCCAAUGACUCAUUGAUUUGCGGGUAUAAAGGCCCAGUUCUUGUUCCCAAUUUGAAACAACUCUAAGGGGCCAUGGCAGCUUCACAGCUUCCCACAGAGUCAGCUGAGUCCUUGUGGUGGGCACGUUACAGCCCAUCUACUCUCACUGCUCGGUUCCACCUCUUUCCCUUUCCCUACAUGUGUUUAUAUUGAGAGCAUUCCUCCAUGAAUGUUCUCUAUGCCCAUCAGGACAGUCUCAGACAUUGUUUCUAGGGAAGCAUAUCUGCAACAGCUGAAGUAACGAAUAACUCCCAAAUUGCAGUUGCUUAACAAAACAAGUCUAUCUACAUGGUUCAGCUGAGGGAUUUCUCUACAUGGCCAGUUGGUAAUUUAGGCUAAUCAAGGCUCUAUCUCCUCUGGUGGUAUACAGAACAAGCAGACUCCAGUCGUAUGUCCCUGAUAUAGCUGGAGGAUCAGGUACCAGCUUUUCUAUACCUUGGCCUGAAGAUGAAUGAUAAAUCUUGCACUCACAGCCCAUUGGCCAUCACCAGUUGGUAACUGUGAAGGAACAGGAGGGUGAGUACCAUAGUUCUGCCAUACUCUGCAAGCCUCAAUUUCCUCUGUAAAAUAGGAAUAAUCUUACUUAAAAGUGUAGCUGUGGCUGGGCGCGGUGGCUUACGCCUAUAAUCCCAGCACUUUGGGAGGCCAAGGUGGGCAGAUCACCUGAGGUCAGGAGUUUGAGACCAGCCUGACCAACAUCGUGAAACCUCAUCUAUACUAAAAAUACAAAAAUUAGCUGGGUGUGGUGGUGGGUGCCUGUAAUCCUAGCUACUAGGGAGGCUGAGGCACAAGAAUUGCUUGAACCCUGGAGGCAGGGGUUGCAGUGAGCCGAGAUUGUGCCACUGCACUCCAGCCUGGGCGACAAAGUGAGAUUUUGUCUCAAAAAAAAAAGUGUUGCUGUGAGGGUUAAAUGAGUACCAUAUAAAAGAAGCAUUUAAGUCUCUGGGAAGCAACCUGUUUAGGUGAAGGUAGGUAUCUUACCACCUUCUCCCAUCCCGAGGGUCAUUCUCAACUCUCUUGAUAUUAGAUGGCAACCACCUUCCUACUUUCUCUCCAUAUCAUCACUUGGAAUUAUAUAGGAAAAGUUGGUACUGUGAAAAGCCACAGAAAAUAGAUUUAGCUGGUCUCUGCCUUAGAUAGAAAGAAAAAAGGCCUAGAACCAAAAGAGAUUCCAAGAAUGACUGCAGUUACCAAGACAAGUUGGGAAAAUGGUUACAAGAACUUAAGCGUCACAGGUUCCCUUGUGACAGGUGUGACAAAUUGGCAGAGGCAAAGGGUCGGGGCAGUAUUUUAUUUUUAUUUAUUUUGCCACAUUUCGGCUAUUUUUAAAGUAAUAUUUAAUACUUUCAAGUGUUUUGCCAUGUUAGCCUUUCUACCUUAAUGAUUACUAAUUAUUUAUAAAAACCUUAUAUUUUUCUAAAGCACUAUGAAAGGGAGACCAGAAUUAUUCACCGCAUGACAUAAUAAAUAAAUGAAUUCAAAAUAUGGAAAAAGUCAUUAUAUUCUAAAUAGAAAAUGAUUCCUACUGGAAGGCUUUGAGCUGUGAGCACAUUUUGUGUUUGUUAAAAAAUGCAGGUAAUAGGCUGGGCAUGGUGUCUUAUGCC